rnacentral:rRNA from 1 species
UAAGAGGUCGCGCCUGCCCAGUGACAAUUAGUUUAACGGCCGCGGUAUUUUGACCGUGCUAAGGUAGCGUAAUCACUUGUCUUUUAAAUGAAGACCUGUAUGAAUGGUAUAACGAGGGCUUAACUGUCUCCUCACUCUAGUCAAUGAAAUUGAUCUUCCCGUGCAGAAGCGGGAAUAAAUACAUAAGACGAGAAGACCCUAUGGAGCUUUAGAUACUAGAAUAGACCAUGUUAAUAAACUCUAAAUUAAAGAAUUGAACCUAAUGGGAUACUAUUUUUAUAUCUUCGGUUGGGGCGACCAUGGGGAAAUAUAAAACCCCCACGUGGAAUAAGAGAACUAACCCAUAAUCAACCCUCUUAAAAACAUAGAGCCACACCUCCAAUUAACAGAACUUCUGACCAAAAAUGAUCCGGCAAUGCCGAUCAACGGACCAAGUUACCCUAGGGAUAACAGCGCAAUCCCCUUUUAGAGCCCUUAUCAACAAGGGGGUUUACGACCUCGAUGUUGGAUCAGGACAUCCUAAUGGUGCAACCGCUAUUAAGGGUUCGUUUGUUCAACG